UCCCGGUUAACCCGGGCAGUCUUGUUUGAACAUUCAACAAACAAUAAGGGUUGCGCUCGUUGCGGGACUUAACCCAACAUCUCACGACACGAGCUGACGACGGCCAUGCAGCACCUGUCACUGAGCUCCCGAAGGCACUCGAUGGUUUCCCAAAGAUUCUCAGGAUGUCAAGUCUCGGUAAGGUUCUUCGUUUAGCCUCGAAUUAAACCACAUGAUCCACUGCUUGUGCGGGUCCCCGUCAAUUCCUUUGAGUUUUAAGCUUGCGCUCGUACUCCCCAGGCGGAUCACUUAACGCGUUAGCUUUACGACACAGAGGGUCGAAACCCCAUAUCGUUAGUGAUCAUCGUUUACGGCGUGGACUAC
rnacentral:misc_RNA from 1 species